rnacentral:rRNA from 1 species
UCCAGACUCCUACGGGAGGCAGCAGUGGGGAAUAUUGGACAAUGGGGGAAACCCUUAUCCAGCGACGCCGCGUGAGGGAAGAAGGUUUUCGGAUUGUAAACCCCUGUCAGUGGGGACGAUAAUGACGGUACCCACGGAGGAAGCCACGGCUAACUACGUGCCAGCAGCCGCGGUAAUACGUAGGUGGCAAGCGUUGUCCGGAAUUACUGGGUGUAAAGGGAGCGUAGGCGGGAUGUCAAGUCAGAAGUGAAAAUUAUGGGCUCAACUCAUAACCUGCUUUUGAAACUGAUAUUCUUGAGUGAAGUAGAGGCAAGCGGAAUUCCUAGUGUAGCGGUGAAAUGCGUAGAGAUCGGGAGGAACACCAGUGGCGAAGGCGGCCUGCUGGGCUUUAACUGACGCUCAGGCACGAAAGCAUGGGUAGCAAACAGGAUUAGAUACCCCUGUA